rnacentral:rRNA from 1 species
UACAGGGGGGGCAAGCGUUGUUCGGAAUUACUGGGCGUAAAGGGCUCGUAGGUGGCCGACUAAGUCAGACGUGAAAUCCCUCAGCUUAACUGGGGAACUGCGUCUGAUACUGGAUGGCUUGAGUUUGGGAGAGGGAUGCGGAAUUCCAGGUGUAGCGGUGAAAUGCGUAGAUAUCUGGAAGAACACCGGUGGCGCAAGCGGCUUGCUGGGCCAUAACUGACACUGAGGAACGAAAGCUAGGGGAGCGAAUGGG